AAACAGAUGCUAAUACCGCAUAACAACUUGGACCGCAUGGUCCGAGUUUGAAAGAUGGCUUCGGCUAUCACUUUUGGAUGGUCCCGCGGCGUAUUAGCUAGAUGGUGGGGUAACGGCUCACCAUGGCAAUGAUACGUAGCCGACCUGAGAGGGUAAUCGGCCACAUUGGGACUGAGACACGGCCCAAACUCCUACGGGAGGCAGCAGUAGGGAAUCUUCCACAAUGGACGAAAGUCUGAUGGAGCAACGCCGCGUGAGUGAAGAAGGGUUUCGGCUCGUAAAACUCUGUUGUUAAAGAAGAACAUAUCUGAGAGUAACUGUUCAGGUAUUGACGGUAUUUAACCAGAAAGCCACGGCUAACUACGUGCCAGCAGCCGCGGUAAUACGUAGGUGGCAAGCGUUGUCCGGAUUUAUUGGGCGUAAAGCGAGCGCAGGCGGUUUUUUAAGUCUGAUGUGAAAGCCUUCGGCUCAACCGAAGAAGUGCAUCGGAAACUGGGAAACUUGAGUGCAGAAGAGGACAGUGGAACUCCAUGUGUAGCGGUGAAAUGCGUAGAUAUAUGGAAGAACACCAGUGGCGAAGGCGGCUGUCUGGUCUGUAACUGACGCUGAGGCUCGAAAGUAUGGGUAGCAAACAGGAUUAGAUACCCUGGUAGUCCAUACCGUAAACGAUGAAUGCUAAGUGUUGGAGGGUUUCCGCCCUUCAGUGCUGCAGCUAACGCAUUAAGCAUUCCGCCUGGGGAGUACGGCCGCAAGGCUGAAACUCAAAGGAAUUGACGGGGGCCCGCACAAGCGGUGGAGCAUGUGGUUUAAUUCGAAGCUACGCGAAGAACCUUACCAGGUCUUGACAUACUAUGCAAAUCUAAGAGAUUAGACGUUCCCUUCGGGGACAUGGAUACAGGUGGUGCAUGGUUGUCGUCAGCUCGUGUCGUGAGAUGUUGGGUUAAGUCCCGCAACGAGCGCAACCCUUAUUAUCAGUUGCCAGCAUUAAGUUGGGCACUCUGGUGAGACUGCCGGUGACAAACCGGAGGAAGGUGGGGAUGACGUCAAAUCAUCAUGCCCCUUAUGACCUGGGCUACACACGUGCUACAAUGGAUGGUACAACGAGUUGCGAACUCGCGAGAGUAAGCUAAUCUCUUAAAGCCAUUCUCAGUUCGGAUUGUAGGCUGCAACUCGCCUACAUGAAGUCGGAA
rnacentral:rRNA from 1 species